AGGACGAACGCUGGCGGCGUGCUUAACACAUGCAAGUGGUGCGACGAACCAGGGCUUGCCCUGGGGCAAAGCCGCGAACGGGUGAGUAACACGUGAGCAACCUGCCCUUAGCUCCGGGAUAGCUCCGGGAAACCGGAAUUAAUACCGGAUACGACCACGGCCGACAUCUGCUGUGGUGGAAAGGAUUCCGGCUAAGGAUGGGCUCGCGGCCUAUCAGCUAGUUGGUGGAGUAACGGCCCACCAAGGCGACGACGGGUA
rnacentral:rRNA from 1 species